UCCUCGCUGGCUGUGUGUUUACAGAAUAAUCCUAGGAUCUAAGCUCUGCUCCAGAGACUGACUGGCAGAAGCCUUUACUACCACUGAGCUAAAAUACUUCUAAAUGUUCUGCCGCUUUCUCCUUGGGCCCCGUAGUCCUGGUGACAGACUGCCCAGGGUGCACAGAUUGGAGCCUUUUAGGAACGUGCUCCUUGGGAAAAGGUUUCACUGACCUGCCACCAGCCUCUGAUGUGUGCAUGGUGGUGAGCUAAUGGGUUAGAUUAGGAAGCUGUUAAUGAAGCCAAACUCGGAUCUGGAGGAUUUCACAUGUGAACUGGAAGAUGAACUCUCAAGGAAGCAUCCAAAUCCUUUCUCCAGAGUAAAGGGUGCCCUGAGGGCUCUUAUGAACUGACAUCUCUUUUGCCCUGUAGCCCUGGCUUUCUUCUGUGUCCUUACUGCCUCUGCAGUGCCCAUUGCCUCUGAGGAUGGAUGGCAACUUCUGCAGCCCUAACCUGAACAUAGRGCCUGAUCCAAAACCCGGAGGAGUCAGUGGAAAGCUGGGCUUGAGCACAGCACAAACCAACACACGUUUAUUAUGCUCCCCUCCUGCCUGUCGGUCCUCUCCCCACACAGCACCUAAAUAUGCAAGAAUUCUGGUUUCCAACCACUGGCUGAACGAAGAUGCAGCCACGAGACAGAGGAGAGACGGGAAGAUACGCUCACACCCCUCCCUGAGCUGGUCUGGUCCGUGGUGUUGUGUAACGCGGGGCUGGAUGACACGGCAGAGAAAG
rnacentral:lncRNA from 1 species